rnacentral:misc_RNA from 1 species
GAUGAAGAACGUAGCGAAAUGCGAUAAGUAAUGUGAAUUGCAGAAUUCAGUGAAUCAUCGAAUCUUUGAACGCACAUUGCGCCCGCUAGUAUUCUGGCGGGCAUGCCUGUCCGAGCGUCAUUUCAACCCUCAAGCCCCCGGGCUUGGUGUUGGAGAUCGGCGAGCCCCCCGGGGCGCGCCGUCUCCCAAAUAUAGUGGCGGUCCCGCUGUAGCUUCCUCUGCGUAGUAGCACACCUCGCACUGGGAAACAGCGUGGCCACGCCGUAAAACCCCCCACUUCUGAAAGGUUGACCUCGGAUCAGGUAGGAAUACCCGCUGAACUUAAGCAUAUCAAUAAGCGGAGGA